UCAGAAUAGCUGAAGUCAACAGGUUGAAAAUAGCCGAGGUCAAGCCCAGAUCUAGUUGAUGACAAGGUAUAGAGCCUGUUAUUUGUCUUACCGUGUUUGCCACUUGAAGACUGAAGUCACAUCUGUCCUCACUGAGCCAAGAAUCUCACCUGAACAAAAUUCCUUUCUCAUUGUUCUCAAACUCCAAGAAAAACUGUUCUAUAGAAGUCUCCAGGUUUCUCCUUGUUGCUUGGGAAACUGCUCCUCGAUGUGUCUACUCAUGUGCUGUAGUGAAGUACAAAGCUGGCUCAGACUGCUAGAAGAGGCCAGUGACACAGAUACAAUGAAGCACCACCAAAUCUUUCUGCAGACUUCUCUUCCUCUGAGAAAUUUAGGGCAAAAGGCUCUCAGCCCUGAGAAGACAUGUCAAUGAUGUGAAAGCAUAGAAAGCCUAGAAUUUUCUGCACACCUUGCUGUAGAAGAGAACUCAAGUAGCCAGGCCAUAGUGCAAAGCAUAAAAAUGAAAAUUCCGUUC